rnacentral:rRNA from 1 species
UACGUAGGUGGCAAGCGUUAUCCGGAAUUAUUGGGCGUAAAGAGCGCGCAGGUGGUUAAUUAAGUCUGAUGUGAAAGCCCACGGCUCAACCGUGGAGGGUCAUUGGAAACUGGUUAACUUGAGUGCAGAAGAGGGUAGUGGAAUUCCAUGUGUAGCGGUGAAAUGCGUAGAGAUAUGGAGGAACACCAGUGGCGAAGGCGGCUUCCUGGUCUGUAACUGACACUGAGGCGCGAAAGCUUGGGGAGCAAACAGG